rnacentral:misc_RNA from 1 species
UCUUGAAUAAAAUUUUAUGAUGAAAAAGUGAUUUUUUCAUCUAAAAAGUGAAUGAACCUUAUAUUUUUUAUUUCAACAGCAAUAUAUUAAAAAAUUUAAAGUAACAUUUAGCAAGUAAUAUAAAAGUUGCUUAAUUUUUCUACUAAUAAAAUCGUUCUAAAUAUAAAAACCUACCAAUAAAACAAAUCAGCUGUUAUCCGUCAAUCGAUGUCAACAAAAUUACAUAAUUUUGUUUAGAAAAACAGUGAAGUUUUACUAUUUUAUGGUGUCAAUUCGAAAUUGAUAAAUAUGUGUUUUAAAAAGAAAAUAUCGUCGCGCAAAUUGUUGUGUUAAACGCAUGGAACAACCCCGUAAAAUUUGUCUUAUUAGCGAUUUUUGUAUAAUGUAGGCCAAUGUAAUUAGUUAUGGAUCGAAAUAAUAUAAUAGAAUGUGGAGGAUUUUAUUUUAUUCAUAAUUUUGACUCUGGAAAUCUGGGACAUGUAGAGCGAGUCCCAACGGAGCUUAUUGCUCCAACAGUCAAUCAGAAAACAAACACUUCAGAAACACCUGAUUAUGAAUUCAAUCUGUGGACAAGGCCUGAUUGUGCUGGCACUGAGUUUGAGAAUGGUAACCGUACCUGGUUUUACUUUGGCAUACAGGCAGCUGAACCAAAUGUGCAGGUGAGGUUGAAUAUCAUAAACCUGAACAAGCAAGGCAAAAUGUAUAAUCAAGGGAUGGCACCAGUGACUAGGACACUGCCAGGGAAACCGCAAUGGGAAAGGAUAAGAGACCGUCCUGUUCAUUCGACUGAUGACAAUACCUUUACACUCAGUUUCAAGUACCGAACUAGCGAAAACCCCAAGGCAACAACAUUUUUUGCUUUCACAUAUCCAUUCUCAUUUGCCGAGUUGCAAAUAGCUUUAAAUUCUAUUGAUCUCAAAAUGCUGCCAUUGCCCUCGCCGCAAUCACCUGAUGAUAUCUACUAUUACAGAGAAUGUCUUAUUUACUCUCUCGAAGGGAGAAGGGUGGAUUUGCUAACUAUUUCAUCACAUCAUGGUAUAACAACAGAAAGAGAGGAGCGACUAAAAAAUUUGUUUCCUGACAACCAAGAAAGACCAUUGAAGUUUCAAAACAAAAAGGUGAUAUUCAUAUCUGCCCGAGUACAUCCAGGAGAAACACCUUCAAGUUUCGUAUUCAAUGGGUUUUUAAACUUGAUACUAACCAGGAAUGACCCCAUCGCCAUUCAGCUCAGGAAGAUAUAUGUGUUCAAAAUGAUACCAUUUCUUAACCCAGAUGGGGUGGCCAGGGGUCAUUACAGAACUGAUACUAGGGGGGUGAAUCUUAACAGGGUGUAUUUAAACCCCUCAUUAACGUAUCAUCCCACGGUGUAUGCAUCGCGAGCUUUAAUAAGAUACUAUCACUUUGGAUAUGAAAAGGAGGAAGACGUAUUUGAAGAUAGCAAGAGCUUUACUUCGAGGAGCAUUGGAAACAUUAGUGAAAGUGCUGAGUUUAUAGAUACCAAAAAAAAGAAGAAUGCUUUCAAAGGAUCCGAUUAUAAACGAGAGAAAUCAUCAUCGGCAAAAUCAGUGAUGAAGAACAAAUCAUCUACCACUAUAAAGCCGGUUUCAAAUGAGGCUUCAAAAGACUUUCAGUCUAUUAGUGGUGAAGCUUCAAAUUUGGCUGACCAGGUAUACGACAUGAAACUGCAAGAGAUGCCGUCCCAAACGACGGAGACAAUGUCCGACGUGUCCAACACGAAUAUGGAAGACACUAGGUCAUUGCUCAACGACAAAGUACUGAGGUCGUGCCUGGGGUCCACCGUUCACUUGAGUACUAGCGAGGAGCUGAACAUGCAUGGUGGCAACCCGUUGAAACCGCUCCGGGAUACACUGAAGAAUAGUAUCAGCCUGCUUAUGGAGUCCAGUAGUUCUGUUGCUGGGGACAGUGCGAUGGGCAGCAAAGACCGCAUGGCGAACGUGAAAGUGGGCUGGUGUGAGGAGUGCCGGCGCGCGGUCAGUCGUAUGGAGGACACUAUGCCCGGCAUAGCGAGCAUGGUGCCGGGGUAUAGUGCUACUAUGAUGAUUCCCGACCCUCCAACCUAUCACUCCAUAGACGAGUAUCGUGAACACCAAAGACUCCAAAUUGAUGAACAGCAACGGAAGUUGCAGGACACGGAGUAUUCGAAGGAAGGCGACAAUAUUUACUUUUGUACAAACUGUUUCAAAAGAUACGUGAUAUCUGAGUUCAACGAAGAAGUGAAAAUAUCAGAAACGAUAUCAUCGACGAGCGUGGGUGUGAGCGUGUGCGCGGGCGACGGCGGCGACGUGUGCGCCGCGCUCGCGCCUCGCAACGUGCUCUCCGCUACCGACACGCUUCUUAUCCCACCCCCACCGAUUGUCAAGGAGGAAAAGCCAAAGUCUCCUACAAAGACGAUAAUUAAAAAGAAACCACCGACCGCUAACACUACUAUUGUAACAAAAAGCACCUACAAAGAACCAGAUAGUGGACUCUUCUUAUACAUUGAUUUACAUGGCCAUGCUUCUAAGAAAGGUAUUUUCAUGUACGGCAAUCACUUCGAAGACGUCGACAAUUCUGUGGAGUGUAUGCUGCUCCCACGCAUUAUGUCCCUCAACAAUUUGCACUUUCAUUUCUCCUCGUGCAACUUUACUGAGCGAAAUAUGUAUCUCAAAGACCGACGGGACGGCAUGUCGCGCGAGGGCAGCGGGCGCGUGGCCGUGCUCAAGGCCACCGGGCUCGUGCGCUCGUACACGCUCGAGUGCAACUACAACACGGGGCGGCUGGUGAACGUGCUGCCGCCGCCCGUGCGCGACGCGCCCCCCCCGCCCGCCGCGCCCGCCGCGCCCGCGCCGCACGCGCACUCCCCCCUCCCGCCCAAGUACACGCCGCACAUCUUCGAAGAGGUGGGUCGUUCGCUAGGAGCAUCCAUCCUGGACCUGACUGGCCAGCAUCCAAACUCUCGCAUCCCGUGCUCAGAGCACCGCAACCUCGCGGCACUGCGUGAUUGGCUGCGGGCGCACACACGCACUAUGCGGCCCCAGUGUUAAUUCGUCCCCAAAACUACUAUAAAACUCCAGGUUCUUACUAAAACAGUAUGGUUGACCAUGUCCCGACUGCGACCGAAGGCAUCGUCACCGACGAGGGUGCCGUUGUACGCGAGGUCGAAAGCGAAAGUGACAGAGGA